GUCAGGUGUGGUGGUGAAUGCCUGUAAUCCCAGUGGCUCGGGAGGCUGAGGCAGGAGGAUUGUAAAUUCAAGUUCAGCCUCACCAACUUAGCAAGACCCUGUCUCUA
rnacentral:sRNA from 1 species